rnacentral:rRNA from 1 species
UCCGGUCGCUUGUGCGAGAUGGAACCACCUUUUCCCAUUCCGAACAGAGAAGUGAAACGUUUCAGCGCCGACAAUAGUAUCCCGGCAACGGGACUUGAAAAUAGGUCGCGGCCGGAA